rnacentral:rRNA from 1 species
AGAGUUUGAUCCUGGCUCAGGACGAACGCUGGCGGCGUGCUUAACACAUGCAAGUCGAACGCUGAAGCCUGGUGCUUGCACCGGGUGGAUGAGUGGCGAACGGGUGAGUAAUACGUGAGUGACCUGCCUUUGACUCUGGGAUAAGCCUGGGAAACUGGGUCUAAUACCGGAUGCGACUACUGCCCGCAUGGGCUGGUGGUGGAAAGGGUUAUGUACUGGUCUUAGAUGGGCUCACGGCCUAUCAGCUGGUUGGUGGGGUAAUGGCCUACCAAGGCGACGACGGGUAGCCGGCCUGAGAGGGUGACCGGCCACACUGGGACUGAGACACGGCCCAGACUCCUACGGGAGGCAGCAGUGGGGAAUAUUGCACAAUGGGCGCAAGCCUGAUGCAGCGACGCCGCGUGAGGGAUGACGGCCUUCGGGUUGUAAACCUCUUUCAGCAGGGAAGAAGCGGAAGUGACGGUACCUGCAGAAGAAGCGCCGGCUAACUACGUGCCAGCAGCCGCGGUAAUACGUAGGGCGCAAGCGUUGUCCGGAAUUAUUGGGCGUAAAGAGCUCGUAGGCGGCUUGUCGCGUCUGCUGUGAAAGCCCGGGGCUUAACUCCGGGUGUGCAGUGGGUACGGGCAGGCUAGAGUGCAGUAGGGGUAACUGGAAUUCCUGGUGUAGCGGUGAAAUGCGCAGAUAUCAGGAGGAACACCGAUGGCGAAGGCAGGUUACUGGGCUGUUACUGACGCUGAGGAGCGAAAGCAUGGGGAGCGAACAGGAUUAGAUACCCUGGUAGUCCAUGCCGUAAACGUUGGGCACUAGGUGUGGGGGACAUUCCACGUUUUCCGCGCCGUAGCUAACGCAUUAAGUGCCCCGCCUGGGGAGUACGGCCGCAAGGCUAAAACUCAAAGGAAUUGACGGGGGCCCGCACAAGCGGCGGAGCAUGCGGAUUAAUUCGAUGCAACGCGAAGAACCUUACCAAGGCUUGACAUACACCGGAUCGUUCCAGAGAUGGUUCUUCCCUUUUGGGCUGGUGUACAGGUGGUGCAUGGUUGUCGUCAGCUCGUGUCGUGAGAUGUUGGGUUAAGUCC